UUAAGAUAAACUGUGAGUCUGGGGAUGUAACUCAGUGGUAGAUUGCCUACUUAGUGUGUGCAAGGCCCUGCCUCUAGUCCACUACUAUGGAAGGGAAGG
ensembl:miRNA Gm27527 predicted gene, 27527